ACGCAUUUGGUCUAGACAUGCUAGUGAAAGAAUGUCGUUCCUUUGGACCGACAUUCCAAAAUGUUCAGGAAUCAGGUCCUUCUUGUGCCGAAUUAGACCACAAGGGACACAACCUACCUUCACCGAGUCCUUGCAUUCUGUAUCAAGGCCUCUUGGAUCAACAAUGCCUUUGUUCUUGUGUGGGUCGCAAAGGAAGGGGGGAAAAGCUCAGGGUUCGGUGUAGUAUCAGUAAGCAGCUGUUGCAUGAGUGACAAACUCAAGGGCUGCCGAUAUGGACAUGGGAAAACCCUAGGGAGGCAGAGGGGUGAAGACACAGCAGCAGCUGAGCUGCUCCACUCAGAAAUGUGCUGCUGUGUUCUCCUGCUCGUGUGAGAAAUAAAAGGCAACCUAUACUAAGUGUCCCCUGGCAAGCCACGUCCCAGUUCUUCCCGUUUCGCUCCCCAGUCUUGAUGAGUUCACGAGAGGUCGUUGUCGGAGCUCAAAAGGCAGGGCCCACCAUGUGACCGAGCGGGCAAGGAGGAGGAGAGGGAAAAGGUAGAACAACACCGACGAUGUCUCCUCUGUGGAGGGACCCAUGCGUCCUUCAACACUCUGUCAUGCGCACCCCUCUGAUGGGGCUCUGCUGAUUGUAACCAGGCUGCUUUCAGUCGUUCAUUUUGCUUUGACUUGUAUGUUUCUUAGGCUUUUCGAGGGCAGUUUCUUUGAUUCAUCAUCAUGCCUUUAAAACCAAAGGGGGGAAAUGUGGCUGACGUCGGUGCUUUGAGAAUGUUCUCCAUGACAACGAAGAACACAGGCUUGUCUGUGACUCUGUCCGUACCUUGAAGGUGUCUGUUCCCAGGCUCUUUGUGGAACACGCGUGUAGUGUCCGUUUCGUGAUACGAGGUCCGCGCUUAUGCAACUUUGUAACCAGUUAGAACCAUCCCCACACAGCAUAUUGGAAAGACUGAAGGGUCUGCCUUAUUCUGCUUAAAGUAAUUGAUUCAUCUCACUGACUGGAAGGGUUUUUACCUUGGCCUUCCAGAUGCCCGUCCCUUGUCCCCAUCAUAUCUGGAGUUGACAAAUGUGGGUUUUUUUCUUUUGCUUGUGUGCUGCCCUGAGAACUUAUGGAGCUACGAGCGUGCUUAAAGAAUUUGCAGGAGGUCUUUACUUUAAGAAUGUUGGAUGGAGUUUGGCUGUUAGUCUGUAGCCCUGGUCACUGGUGUCACAGUUGCAUUGUAACAUUAGCAGUAGAAUGGUGAGAAUAAAGCAAGAUUCUAAGAACAGCCCAAAGAUGCCUGAGCUUCCAGGGACAAUCAUUGCAUGAACUUUACUAGGUAUCUAAAACACAUUAGUACAGAAAUAUUCUAGACCUGAAUGUUAUGCAAGUUAAUCUUUGGAGAAUUGUGGUCAUAAUAUUCUAAUCAAAUCAAAUGAAUUUGUUUGGCUGAAUCAAACCUGGACGUAUGUGUUUAUAGAUUUUAGGUCUGUGAAAUACACACUGUUGGUUGGUUAUGGCUAACUUGGCUUUCUGAUUCUGUCUGUUAUUGUCUAGAUAGCCUACAGACUACACUGUUUCUGUACUUCAUGAUUAGAGAUACAGGACACUAUUAUCACACAGGUGUAUUGGCACUUCAGCAAUAACAUGAAUCAUUUGUAAAUACAUUCAACCAGUACAUCAUUGUGUACAGCCUGGUAUUGUUGCAUGAAUGCUGAAGUUAUUUUUCUUUUGUUAUUGUCCUACAGAAGACAUCUGCAGUUGAUCAACCACAACACAGUUACUGAGGGAAUGCUUUGUUAUGAGCUAUAAGUGUAAUAUAACCAAAUUGUAAGCAUGCUUGAGAAGUUUUUUAAACUAGCAGUGAAUAUAAAUCAUAUUGUAUUUUGUAGCAGGCUGUGUUUCGAGACCAUGAAACGUUCAGUGUUACCACAGUGCAUGAUUAGUACUUUAUCAUGGUAGUAGUCUUUUGAUUUUUACAUGACAGGUUCAUGAGUUAUGUCCAAACCUUAGUUAAUGCCGGAAAGUUGACAUUGCUUUCUAUUCAUCUGUCCUAUUCAAGGUUCAGUUAAAUAGUGUGCAGAUUAUAUUUGAAUUAGCUGAUACCUGCAAGUAAAUAGUGGGUCAAACUUAAAUAUGUAUUUUGGUGAGCUAUGUUUGAAACCAGCCAGUGAGGUUGUUGGUGAAUGUUGAACACAGGGUGUCUCGAUGUCAAUGUUUUCUGUUGUUUUAUUACAUUAACAAUAUGUUCUGUUUAUUUGGCAAUUUGUAGAGAAUAUUUUCUCUGUUUUUCUAAGCCGUUUAUAACAGAACUCCUUUUGGGUUUCAAUGACUGUUCUUUGUACAAUCUAUUCUUUGAAAAUGUUCACACAAGGCUAAAAGAAUGGAAUAGGGGAAGAAAGCUAUUUCAAUAAACAACAUUAGUAUAUAUCUUAAUUUAGCAAAUUAAAUAAUGAACCUUAUUAUUGUGAUUAUACCAUAAAUAAUUGAUUGGUUUUAUGUAUUUAUUUAUAAUCCACCAAUUCUUACAAACAUAUUACCAAGCUUAUGACUAACAUUCAAACUGGCCUUUUAAAAUUAUUUCAAAGAUAAAACAUAAUUAAAGAACAACUAUAAUAUUGGCACAUACAUUGAUGAAUUGGAAAUACUAGGAAUGCAUUCAAACGAAGAACAUACUGAGUUGAUUUUCCAUCUUUCACACUUAUUUCUAAUGUACUUGUUCUGUUUAUAAGAUUGUUUAAUUGUAAGUGAAAAACAUUUUGUGGUUUUGUUUUUCAUUUAUGUAUCUGUUAGAAAUAUGUUAUUUUUCAUUGUAGAAAUGCACCAAUUCCACUUUGCAGCUGUUGCACUUGGCAGCAGGUGUUUUACAAUUAUCUAUAGGGAACCACAUUUAAUGUUUUUUGUCAAAACAAUCUAUCACCUGCAAUAUUGGGCUUUGUCUAGAAAUCAGCCAAGUUUAACACAACCUAUUUUAGUAACUUUGUGGAGAUGCCCUAUUUUUAGAAAUCUUAUUUGAAAUGAUUUGAUUAUUAUUUACUGAAAUAUGUCAAACAAAUAUAUCAAACAAUUAUGAAUAAUAUAAAGAUCCUAUAAACAUAUUAUGGCUGUUUUUUAUGCAUAAUGUAUAUGUAAAAAAGCUCAGAGGGAAGAAACAUUAGGUCUCAGAAAUAUAAGCAGCUGGAAAUGUAUUAACAUUUAUUAAUUUGAAAUUGCAGUUUGUUUUUGCUAUUUCUAGCUUUUUAUUUUAAAUAGGCUAUGACCAUUUUCUGUAUUUUGAACGUUAGAAACUGUAUUUUUCUUUUCCUUUUAGCAUCCUCUUUUAUGUCUUAAUUCAUUGAGGACAGUGAGUGGCAAAUCCUAGUUUGGGCUACUGCUGUCAUUUGUGGAAACUUGAAAUCUUAAACUCAUGGACUUCCUGAUAAAAUGCCCGUGUCUGUUUGUUAGACACAUUUUAAAAACAUCAUCAUUUCUGUUUUGAUGUCAGUAACAACCCACAUGUGCUUUUGGUGUGCAGCUUUGCCGAACCCACACUAUUGCAUGUUCUUGUUGUAAUUUGAAUGCCUAGACUGUAGGUAUUAUGCCCCUGUAACUGAGUAAACUAUGAUUAAAGCAAAACCAUUGCCAUCACAGUAUGACGUGAGAUAUUUGUUCAUAUUUAUUUUUACUUUGAGUGAAAGAAAUGUUUUCAUGUCCUUGUUGUGCGCGCAUUGGAUAUCAAGUUCAUUUCUUUCUGCCAAGCCGGG
ensembl:lncRNA